UACGAAGGGGGCUAGCGUUGUUCGGAAUCACUGGGCGUAAAGCGCACGUAGGCGGAUCUUUAAGUCAGGGGUGAAAUCCCGAGGCUCAACCUCGGAACUGCCUUUGAUACUGGGGAUCUCGAGUCCGGGAGAGGUGAGUGGAACUGCGAGUGUAGAGGUGAAAUUCGUAGAUAUUCGCAAGAACACCAAUGGCGAAAGCAGCUCUCUGGGACGGUACUGACGCUGAGACGCGAAAGCGUGGGGAGCGAACAGG
rnacentral:rRNA from 1 species